CUUCAAAUAAAUUUAAACUUCAAACUGGGUAGAAUAAAGGAGAGUUUUAAUGUCGCAGUAUGCAUCUAUGAAUUUAGGGAUGAGAAUGAAACAAACAUUUGCAAUCCCUAUGAAUUCAUGUGUAAUGGAAGAGUUGAACCUAGAUGCAUAGGAUGGAAUAGAUUUCAAGAUGGUCAUAAUGAUUGCUCUGAUGGCGUUGAUGAAAUCUGUUUAGGCUGGCAAUUUGACUGUGGAAUAGGGGACAAAAACAAUCCGAAAUGUAUUUUGAACAACUUCUUAAAUAAUGGUAGAAAAGACUGUUUAAAUGGAAUCGAUGAAUUUC